rnacentral:rRNA from 1 species
AUUCCAGCUCCAAUAGCGUAUAUUAAAGUUGUUGCAGUUAAAAAGCUCGUAGUCGGAUUUCGGGGCGGGCCGGGCGGUCUGCCGAUGGGUAUGCACUGUCCGGCGCGUCCUUCUUUCCGGAGACCGCGCCUACUCUUAGCUGAGCGGGCGUGGGAGACGGAUCGUUUACUUUGAAAAAAUCAGAGUGUUUCAAGCAGGCAGCUCGCUCUUGCAUGGAUUAGCAUGGGAUAAUGAAAUAGGACUUUGGUGCUAUUUUGUUGGUUUCGAACACCGAAGUAAUGAUUAACAGGGACAGUCAGGGGCACUCGUAUUCCGCCGAGAGAGGUGAAAUUCUCAGACCAGCGGAAGACGAACCACUGCGAAAGCAUUUGCCAGGGAUGUUUUCAUUA